UACGUAGGUGGCAAGCGUUGUCCGGAUUUACUGGGCGUAAAGCGUAUGUAGGCGGAUGUUUAAGUAGGAAGUGAAAGGUUCGAGCUCAACUCGGACACUGCUCCCUAUACUGGGCAUCUUGAAGGCCGGAGAGGAGAGCGGAACGACACGUGUAGCGGUGAAAUGCGUUGAUAUGUGUCGGAACACCAAUGGCGAAGGCAGCUUUCUGGACGGUAGGUUUACCUUUAAAUUUGACGCUGAGAUACGAAAGCCGAGGUAGCGAACAGG
rnacentral:rRNA from 1 species